AUUGAACGCUGGCGGCAUGCCUUACACAUGCAAGUCGAACGGCAGCAUAGGAGCUUGCUCCUGAUGGCGAGUGGCGAACGGGUGAGUAAUAUAUCGGAACGUGCCCUAGAGUGGGGGAUAACUAGUCGAAAGACUAGCUAAUACCGCAUACGAUCUACGGAUGAAAGUGGGGGAUCGCAAGACCUCAUGCUCCUGGAGCGGCCGAUAUCUGAUUAGCUAGUUGGUGGGGUAAAAGCUCACCAAGGCGACGAUCAGUAGCUGGUCUGAGAGGACGACCAGCCACACUGGGAUGGAGACACUGCCCAGACUCCUACGGGAGGCAGCAGUGGGGAAUUUUGGACAAGGGGGGCAACCCUGAUCCAGCAAUGCCGCGUGAGUGAAGAAGGCCUUCGGGUUGUAAAGCUCUUUUGUCAGGGAAGAAACGGUUCUGGAUAAUACCUGGAGCUAAUGACGGUACCUGAAGAAUAAGCACCGGCUAACUACGUGCCAGCCGCCGCCGUAA
rnacentral:rRNA from 1 species